rnacentral:rRNA from 1 species
AUUGUACGCUGGCGGCAUGCCUUACACAUGCAAGUCGAACGGCAGCACGGGUGCUUGCACCUGGUGGCGAGUGGCGAACGGGUGAGUAAUACAUCGGAACGUACCUUAUCGUGGGGGAUAACGCAGCGAAAGCUGUGCUAAUACCGCAUACGCCCUGAGGGGGAAAGCGGGGGAUCGAAAGACCUCGCGCGAUUAGAGCGGCCGAUGCCUGAUUAGCUUGUUGGUGGGGUAAAAGCCCACCAAGGCUACGUUCAGUAGCUGGUCUGAGAGGACGAUCAGCCACACUGGGACUGAGACACGGCCCAGACUCCUACGGGAGGCAGCAGUGGGGAAUGUUGGACAAUGGGGGCAACCCUGAUCCAGCAAUGCCGCGUGAGUGAAGAAGGCCUUCGGGUUGUAAAGCUCUUUUGUCAGGGAAGAAACACCGGCUCUAACACAGUCCGGGAAUGACGGUACCUGAAGAAUAAGCACCGGCUAACUACGUGCCAGCCGCCGCAGUAA